GUGGGUGUAGUUCAGCUGGCUAGAACGCCAGAUUGUGGCUCUGGAGGUCGCCGGUUCGAGUCCGGUCAUCCACCCCA
rnacentral:tRNA from 1 species